rnacentral:rRNA from 1 species
AGUAACGCGUGGGCAACCUGCCCCGCACUGGGGGACAACAGCCGGAAACGGCUGCUAAUACCGCAUAUGCGCACAGCUUUGCAUGAAGCAGUGUGGAAAACUCCGGUGGUGCGGGAUGGGCCCGCGUCUGAUUAGCUGGUUGGCGGGGCAACGGCCCACCAAGGCGACGAUCAGUAGCCGGCCUGAGAGGGUGGACGGCCACAUUGGGACUGAGACACGCCCAGACUCCUACGGGAGGCAGCAG